rnacentral:rRNA from 1 species
UAGAUACCCGGGUAGUCCAUGCCGUAAACGAUGUGUGUUAGACGUUGGAGAUUUAUUUUCAGUGUCGCAGCGAAAGCGAUAAACACACCGCCUGGGGAGUACGACCGCAAGGUUAAAACUCAAAUGAAUUGACGGGGACCCGCACAAGUAGUGGAGCAUGUGGUUUAAUUCGAAGAUACGCGCAGAACCUUACCAACACUUGACAUGUUCGUCGCGACUCUAAGAGAUUAGAGUUUUCGGUUCGGCCGGACGAAACACAGGUGCUGCAUGGCCGUCGUCAG